GCGUCGGUAGUGCAACGGUUAGCAAACGCUCCCGGAAAGAGUGAGAUCUGGGUUCGAAUCCCGGCUGACGCA